GCCAGGUGCGGUGUGCAUGCCUGUAAUCCCAGCCACUUGGGAGGCUGAGGCAGGAGGAUCACAAGCUCAAGGCCAAACUCAGCAACUUAGUGAGGCCUUGAGCAACACAGUGAGAUCCUGUCUCAA
rnacentral:sRNA from 1 species